UUUUCUUGGUUUUGGUCGUUGUGUUGGGUGUGUGAUUCCAGGAGGGUGUAGGGGAGCUGGGUUUCGCUGCAGUCGCUGCUCAGAGCUGCCAUCAGAAGGAGAUCUCUGGCAGCGCUGGCGCUGUUUCCAUAUCGCAAACUGGGAGUGCACCCCAUGCUGGGCUGGGUGCAAGGCUCCUGAGAUGAGUGUGUGCAGAGGCCUGGGCUAGCUGCUCUCACAGAGCAGGGGCCUCCCAGCUGCUGGAUCCCUCUCCUCUCCCGCCUGCACUGCCAGCUCUGCUGGGGCCGAGCCAAGCGGUGCUGCCCAGCUUCUCAACAGCCUUGCAGGUAGAGGAGAAUCCAUAACAAGAUAAAGCAAAAAAGAAGAGACAAGUUUUCUUUCCCACUCCAGGAAGAAUAACCUGUUGGAUUAUAGUCUACAAACAGUGGAGAGUGCCAACAUGAGCAACGAGGGGCCUGAGAAUCCCAUUUCAUCUACACUGACUGAGGGCCUGAAGAGAAAGAGGGGGAGACCAAAGAAGCAGCCACAGGAGGAUGGUGGAAACACAGCUGUUAUCCCACAGGAUGCUGCGGAAUCACAGCCAGCGAAGAAACCACGAGGAAGGCCAAAAGGAAGCAAGAAAGCAGAACCUCCUGCUGGGAAGAGGCCAAGAGGGAGGCCCCGUAAGUGGCCUCAAGCAGUGGUCCAAGAAGGAGAGUCUCAGGGAGGAAAUCCUCUGGAAAGCAGUGACUUGAAUUUGAACUCGGCACCAGCCACACAAGGCAUCACUGGAAAAGAGGGAUCCCGGUCUGGCAAAACCGCUGGUCUUAGGAGAGGCCUGAGUGCCAUCCCUGCUGCAGCUCAGUAGUGUCCCACCUGUUCAUGUCUUGCUGAAGCCAGAGGACUGGGAAGCAAACAGGACUUUUCAUGUUGUGUUUCAGAUUCUUCAUUUGUGUAGUUUUAGCCAAGCUCUCUCCUGUUGCCUCUGGACUUGCUUACCACAAACAUCCAAACAAGGAUUUAGGGGAAGAAAUGGCAAAUGCCUUGUUGGAGAGAUCCCUUUUACAGUUCAUAGUAUAUCUUUUGUGAGUGUAAUGAUAAUUUCUCUUCAAAUUACUUGGAUAACCUGGUGCCUUGCCCUGCCACAGAGAGCAGUAUUUUAACAAAAGUUGACUUAACAGUACAGAUACAGGAAGGGAAUUCUGUUUACACAGCUAAUGCCCUGUCUGCUGUAUCACCUCUGGCAGACUGAUGGAGCAGUGCCAAGAGUGAAGUUUCGCUGUGUUGCCUUUGAGUCCUUUCUGGACUAUUUCAGAAAGAAAAACCUUCAUGGCAUUUCCAGCUUGCACUGUGCUGCUGUUCCAGUGGGCAGUACCUUGCAUGCUUUAGGGGAAAGUUUGCACCUUGAUGUCUUAGUAGAGAUUGAUUCUGAAAUUUUUAUCUUUAAAUGAUCAGCUCAGGGCCUUCUUCUCUAACUUCUUCUGGCCUGGUGCCUCUCCCCCUGAGUCUGAUGGCAGCUCCAAGUGCACAGUGCUUACAAGCUUAGUCACAGCCACUGGAUUUCAUCCCAUCAAAGAAGUGUCUGUAAAGAACCAGUCAUACAGAAGUUGCUUCCUUGCAGAGCCCCAGGAUUCAGUUUAAAUUAGUUGAAGUUCAGUCCCUAACAUGCGUGUGUGGGGUCCUCUAGUGUCACAACUAUGCAAAUAAAAGCUGUUGAUAGUUUCGUUUUGGGAGACAAGCAGUAGCCAGUUGGUUUGAGAUUGUUGCUGGCUGCUCUCAGUUUCACGCUGUUUUGCAGAUUUGUGCUUUUGGCGUCAGAGCUGAACUUGUUAAAUUCUGAGCAACUCAGGAUAUUUCCAAUAUCCAGUUGCAAAUAGUGAAAUCCCAGUGCUACUUUCCAUCUCCUGGAUGUUCUGCCUGCCUGUUAAAGGGACAAAGUGGGUAUUUCAAUUAUCUCUGACAGGAUGUAAAAUUGGCUAGCUUUACAGUGUUAAAUAUUUAAACAGAACAUAAUUGGCUUUAAAUUUAUGGUGGUGCAUAGCAGAAACCCAUGAAAUGGCUGUAUAUAUUGAACUCAUUUAUUAUCUUUUCAUCAGAGUUCUGUUCCCUUGGCAAGUAUUUAUUUAACACAAGAAAAUGUAUGCAGAAUUAAGAAGAAGGGCUGAUUGGAGAAAUAAUGAGGGGAAAGUGGGGUUUUUUUCCUUUAGGAUCAUUUUGUCCAAUCCACCCAGUUUAGUACUGAUGACUCCAUUAAUUCUGCUUAGUGGUGAUGAGAAUCCCACUCUUAAUCCUGUGUGGUGUCUGGUGUGCCCAGAGGGUGCUCUCUUGAUAUGGAGCUUGGUGGUCACAGCAGAAAACUGCAUAACAGAUCAUCUUUGUGUCUCCCCUACCAGACAGCAGAGAAAUGAGGGACUAAAUGGAUUAGAUCACAGGGGCUGACCUAAAUCCUGUGCUAUGGGAUGAGCUGUGCUGCCAGACACAAGAGUUUGACCCCAGCUCCUGCUGUGGGGUGACUCCAGGUGGGACAGGACACCGGUGAGUCUGUGCUGUUCAUGCUCUCAUGAGAAGGUGCAGCUGGUGCUCCCCUGAAUUCUGCUGCCCUUCAGUCCACACAGGUUCAGCUGCAGUUCAUGUCUGUGUUCAAAGGCCACUCCUGUAGUAGACCAAAACACUUCACCAAUUUCUGUGUCUGAUUUUCAGGUGAAUUUGCAGGUUCAGUGCUCUGUCUGCACGGCUUUACUGCCUGUUUAAUUAACCCCUGCUACCUGAGAGCAAUAGCUGGUGCAGAGUGAGACUGGAACCUCAGCUUCUAAAUGGAUUAGGGAUUACAUCUGUAAGAGACUCAAGCUUUUCCUUUGACAUCAGUCAGUCCUGUCUCAGUGGUGGCAUGGAAUAGGGGUGCAAACUGUGUUGCCUAGAUAGUAAAUCCAUCUGCUUUAGGUUAGCAGUAUUCCUCUGGGAAGUGCACGCCGUGUACUUUUCUUAAAAUAAAAUUUUAAAAAAUCUAGCCUUUGCCACCUCUUGCCACUCUGCUGAAAAACCACAGUAAAGAACUUGUUUCCAUAAAAAUGCAAGGGUGGAAAGAGAACAAACAGAAUUCCACUAUUUUAGGAGGAGCUCUUCUGUGUGUAGUUGAAACCCCAAGCCAUAACUUCAGCUUCCGUAUUUACACAGAAUUAGAAUAGAAGUCAAUGCCUGUGAAAGGUGGGCAGAAUUCCAGACAUCUUCAGGGAGCCAGGAUCUCACACUGGAUCACUUGGAUUGUCUUUUUUGAAAUGAUAAACAUUUUUAUUUCCCAUAUAGUUAAUUACCUUUUCUGUGUAGACAAACCUACCUCUAAGCAAGUGCAUGUCAAGUGUUUUUAAGCUCAGGCAGUUUUGGUGUGACUCGGCCAAAAAUAAGAGGUCACUGCAGUUGGUUAAACCACAGGAGGUGACCGAGGUUUGUUGUCUAGCAAAGUUUGGAAGUUUCCCAUAAAUGGUUUUGGUAAAGGCAAAGAGAGUGUUGGCAACUUGCAAAUUAGCCUUGAAGUUUGUUUUAAAUAAAGGUAUUAAACAAAAGCCCCCCAGGCUCCUGCUUUGCCUCCUCCUUGUGCAGCACUCUCAGCACGCACACACAUCGCUGGACAAGGUGAGUGUCUCUUGACCUGGAGUUUUGGGGAUUAUAAACAAAAAUUUGGUCAUUCAGGAGCAGCCCCAGAUUGAUGUGAGAACAAGAAAUAAUGAGCAGGAGGAACCCCACAUGGAGAAAACCAGACAGGCUCCAAAGGCCAAAUGUGGGUGCCUAAUUCCAUCCUUCUGUGUGUCUUGGAGGCUUGAUUGGAACACAAGCCAGUUCUGCUUCACAUGUACACCCAGAAGUCUCCACAGUUGAGUCUGUUUCUCCCCUACAUUGUUCAGUGGGCUGUUUAGCUUUUCAUACAAUUAAUUCUCUGCCUGUGCAUUGCCUCUUCAGUUCAUCUGACAGCUUUCCUAACUAGGCCCAAGUUUUGGGGCUGUGGGCCAGAUGAGGCAGCAGCAAAUGUGAAAUUAUCAAGUGUCAUUGUGUUCUGUUCCCCGUGGUGUGGGCAGAGCUGCAGGUGAGCUGAGGAACCCCUGCUUUGUACAGGAAUUCAGUUCAAGGGUAAGUUGGGAUUUCUUUUUGUACUCUGGAUGCCCAGGACUGGCAGCUGGAGGCUCCUGCCCCCCUGACUUCUCCAGCAAGCCUUUCUGAAGAGAUCUGAGUUUCUGUGCUGUAGAACUCUAAACUUUGACCCCCACAGAGCUUCCCCCUCCAAGUUUUUCACAUUUAUUUCAGUUUUUAAAAGAGCAUUUAAAAAUCUGCACACAAAUUACCAGCAGAUACUGGGGAUGCACUCCCAGCAGUUUCUGUGGGAAAAUGCAAAUGAUGGGGGGGAAAAAGACAAUCAUACUAGACUUUCAUGUAAAUAGUUUAAUUAUAUUUCAAUGCUUUAAAACACAGAAACACUUGAAUUAAAUUACAUCAUAAUGCUUCUGCUAUUAUACAUCCAAGAACUGUGAGAGGAGAGGCGCUAUGCAACUAAAAGAAUACUCCAGUAUGAGCCCAGCCAUUCCCCAUAAUAUUCUUUUAGUCUUAUUAUCUGUACUUCUUUAUUCUAAGGGCAGUCAUCACAGGACAAAGCCUACCAUCACAGGGAGAGUGGUUCAAGAGAAUUCCUCUGUAGGUGUGUUUGUUGUGCUGCAGCACACUGGGCUGAGGCGCUGAGCAAACAGCUCAGCUCACACUUGCCUUUUGUUGAGUUUGAAACAACCAUUGACCUUCCACUGCUGAGAGUUCUGGGGAAAACACGAUUUCAGACAGCUGGACACUCCUGCCCUGUGCAUCCCUGUGCUGCUGCAGAGCAGGAAAGGGGGCAGGCAGGGCAGGGAGAAAGCAGAUGUGUGGCUGCUCCCAGUGAACACUUGCAGGAGAGGAGAAGUUUGUGUGUUGGGGGGUGUUUGUCUCUCAGCUGAUCACUAGAAUACCCACAGACAGACUCAAAAUUCUAAGGACCUAAUUUGCAUUAUGCUGAGUAUUUGUACCUGUGCACCUUCACUCCAGCAGCAUCCCUGGGGGCAAACAGCAGCAGCCUGGGAGUGCCCCCUGCCACAUCUCCUGGCAGUGAGGACUGGGCUGUUUUCCAUGCUCCAAUCCCUACUAUCCUCCCUGGAAGCCCUAGUUCUGAAAAGACAGCUGGAUACUGAAAAACAAAACCAACUCAGCCCUGUGGGAAGCUGUGUCAGUGGAAGAGGGAAUGCUGGUAAAGAGCUGUGCCCUGCAGGGGUCAGGGACAGGAAAAGGGCCCAGGAAGAGUCUGCAUUUAAUGAAUAUGGGAAAAACAAUCACACAGG